CUCUCUCUCUCUCUCUCGAUCAAGUAUAUAUGAGUUUUCUUCUAUAAAUGUAUAUAUCUGUCUCUCACAAAAAAAUUUCUCUACUGCUCUCUCACAAAUCUCCUCCUGAAAUCUGCUCCACCAUCGUUGAUCGACGCCGCCAGCCCACCAGCUCGCCUCCCUCUAAUCAUUAGGUUGAAGAUUCAGAGGCUAAGAAGAAUCUGUGCACUCAGCAGGAUUUUCCCCACAUGAAUCCUUGAUUCAGAGUAGUUAGUGGUACAUGUAUUGGUUAUAAAAAAACAAAAUAUUUGCCCUUUUUGUUGCAUUUUCAAGAUGCUUGGGUUCUACUUUUUGUUAGUUGGAAGCUACUCUAUCUGCUUGCUCUUUGUUCAGGAUCUUUUCCUGCUUUCCUUUGGAAUGAAAUUAAACUUGUUUCAUUAAAAAAAGAAGAUAAAUUUUUGUUGUUUUAGGAUUUGGAGAUUUCUUCUUAUCGACAUGCUCCUAUUGUACCCCCAUUUAUGGCUCAUGGAAAUGGAAUCCACCCUGUGCCUUUUCUUGAUCCAUCUAUACCAUGUGGCAGCCCUACAGGAGUUGGUGGAAUUUACAAUUUGAGAGGAUCACCACCGCUGUUGAUUGAACUAUUGUACAGGAUAGUUUUGGAAGACUGCAUGACAAGGGAUAGUGUAUGAUGUAAUAUGUUUAUCAGGAUUUUUGUAAUAUGUUCAUUAUUUUGGGGGAUAUUGUUAAGCAGUGAAUGACAAAGAUAUUAAAUGAAGACUUUUUUGAAUGA